GACGAACGCUGGCGGCGUGCUUAACACAUGCAAGUCGAACGGAAAGGCCCUGCUUUUGUGGGGUGCUCGUGUGGCGAUCGGGUGUGUAUCACGUGUGUAUCCUGCCCUUGUCUUUGGUAUAUCUUCAGGAAACUGGUGCUAAUACCGGAUAGGAUCUCCUGCUGCAUGGUGUGGGUUGGAAAGUUUCGGCGGUUGGGGAUGGACUCGCGGCUUAUCAGCUUGUUUGUGGGGUAGUGGCUUACCAAGGCUUUGACGGGUAGCCGGCCUGGGAGGGUGACCGGCGACAAUGGGAAUGAGAUACGGACCAGACGGCAACGGGAGGCAGCAGGGGGGAAUAUUGCACAAUGGGCGGAAGCAUGAGGCAGAAACGGAGCGUGCGGGAAGACGGCCUUCGGGUUGUAAAAAGAAGUAGAAUGAGAAGAAGAGUGAGUGACGGUAAUGGGUAAAGAAGCAACGGCUAACUACGUG
rnacentral:rRNA from 1 species